GAUGAACGCUGGCGGCGUGCCUAAUACAUGCAAGUCGAGCGAACAGACGAGGAGCUUGCUCCUCUGACGUUAGCGGCGGACGGGUGAGUAACACGUGGAUAACCUAUCUAUAAGACUGGGAUAACCUCGGGAAACCGGAGCUAAUACCGGAUAACAUGUUGAACCGCAUGGUUCAACAGUGAAAGACGGUCUUGCUGUCACUUAUAGAUGGAUCCGCGCCGCAUUAGCUAGUUGGUAAGGUAACGGCUUACCAAGGCAACGAUGCGUAGCCGACCUGAGAGGGUGAUCGGCCACACUGGAACUGAGACACGGUCCAGACUCCUACGGGAGGCAGCAGUAGGGAAUCUUCCGCAAUGGGCGAAAGCCUGACGGAGCAACGCCGCGUGAGUGAAGAAGGUCUUCGGAUCGUAAAACUCUGUUAUUAGGGAAGAACAAAUGUGUAAGUAACUAUGCACGUCUUGACGGUACCUAAUCAGAAAGCCACGGCUAACUACGUG
rnacentral:rRNA from 1 species